AUAUUAUUAAGCGGAGGAAAAGAAACUAACCAGGAUUCCCUCAGUAACGGCGAGUGAAGCGGGAAUAGCUCAAAGUUUAAAUCGUGUGCCGUCAGGCAUUCGAGUUGUAAUCUAAAGACGUGUGGUCAGUGUGUGACUCGGGUAUAACUCUCCUGGAAGGGGGGAUCAAAGAGGGUGAGAAUCCCGUAUUUGACUCGGAGUUCGCCACGUACGAUACACGUUCAACGAGUCGCGUAGUUUGGGAUGCUGCGCAAAUG
rnacentral:rRNA from 1 species